UACGGAGAGUUUGAUCCUGGCUCAGGACGAACGCUGGCGGCGUGCUUAACACAUGCAAGUCGAACGGAAAGGCCCUGCUUUUGUGGGGUGCUCGAGUGGCGAACGGGUGAGUAACACGUGAGUAACCUGCCCUUGACUUUGGGAUAACUUCAGGAAACUGGGGCUAAUACCGGAUAGGAGCUCCUGCUGCAUGGUGGGGGUUGGAAAGUUUCGGCGGUUGGGGAUGGACUCGCGGCUUAUCAGCUUGUUGGUGGGGUAGUGGCUUACCAAGGCUUUGACGGGUAGCCGGCCUGAGAGGGUGACCGGCCACAUUGGGACUGAGAUACGGCCCAGACUCCUACGGGAGGCAGCAGUGGGGAAUUUUCCGCAAUGGGCGAAAGCCUGACGGAGC
rnacentral:rRNA from 1 species